CAAAAAGCUCAAAGCGGAAAAAAGUUAGGUUGAAAAGAUGCAUAAGGGCUAAAAAGGGACAUAAGAAAAGGGGAAAAUGUUCAGUGGAACAAAAAGCUACAACGGUGCCAUUCGGUGAGAGUGUUCCAGCAGUCCAAAAUAUGUCCCCUAGUACAACAACUGUGCAAUUCGAAGAUGGUGCUGUAGCAGUCCCUAGUACUUUUUGCUAGAAGGAAGGGGUGCCUGAACAUGUAUGGCCAUCCAUAAAUUUUCUCGGUUGUUGAUGGUAAUAUUUAACAACGAUGACAUAAUUAUUCAGAUGAUAUUUCAUAAUAAAAAGAAUUCAAUUGUUGUUCUUUCCUCUUGUAGGGACCAAUCACCUAUGAUCUUACUGCUGAAUUUUAGUUUAAAAUCAGCACAGUUUGUUUUUUUGUACAACCUCGGAUGUUUGUCUUUGCAGAUGGAGAACAAUAUAAGCUUUUGUGUUGCCUUUCCACUCGCAGAUGGGGAAUAGUAUGAGCUUUUGGGUAGCCUCUAAAUUAUGGAUAGCUUUUGGUUUUUUGUGGCUGAAGUGUAAAGCCACUUGAGUGUUUGGUUUUCUCAACUGCCAUCACUGAGAUGAGAUCAUCAAUAUCAGUUGUAUAAAUUGGAGCAUGGUCAUUCUGGAAUCAAUACUAUCUGAAACUUGUUCGCUAAUUUCAUUCAUAUUUCACAAACUGGUACAAACAUCACAAUAGCACCAGAAUAUCAGUCUAGAAUUGAUCCACAAUCAUCAUACUCGAUAUUGAUCCACAAUCUCAAUCUAGAAUUGUUUCCUAUCUAAUCAGAAUACAUGUCUCUGUCGCCCUCCUAUGAAGCAGGUAGAGAGCUUCGUGGCUGUGCUCUCUUGAGUAAGGUCUGACGGCUCUGCAGCUAGUUUGGGCGUCAGGGGCAUCCACCGUAUUCGUGAGGAAGUCGAGAUCUCACAACGGACCGUCGCUCGAGCACUCCAUGGAGGCAGUCUGCAGAUGAACGAAGAACAGUCAUGCCUGCUUUCGGGGGGAAAAAAAAA